rnacentral:rRNA from 1 species
GUGGGGAAUAUUGGGCAAUGGGCGAAAGCCUGACCCAGCAACGCCGCGUGAAGGAAGAAGGUCUUCGGAUCGUAAACUUCUAUCCUUGGUGAAGAUAAUGACGGUAGCCGAGAAGGAAGCCCCGGCUAACUACGUGCCAGCAGCCGCGGUAAUACGUAGGGGGCAAGCGUUGUCCGGAAUGAUUGAGCGUAAAGGGCGCGUAGGCGGCCUGGUAAGUCUGGAGUGAAAGUCCUGCUUUUAAGGUGGGAAUUGCUUUGGAUACUGUCGGGCUUGAGUGCAGGAGAGGUAAGUGGAAUUCCCGGUGUAGCGGUGAAAUGCGUAGAGAUCGGGAGGAACACCAGUGGCGAAGGCGACUUACUGGACUGUAACUGACGCUGAGGCGCGAAAGUGUGGGGAGCAAACAGGAUUAGAUACCCUGGUAGUCC